AGUUGCACUCCCAGAGAAGCAGACAGCAGCCCUCUUCAACACAGAAUGGGGCCAAGAAGGCUUGUUUGCUGAGACUACCAGCUUCAAGUCCAUAAAAAUCUACAAGCAAGUGUAACCCAGUGUUUUCCUGUACAUCCUCCUGUCUCAGAAUCCACGGGCCUCACUCUCCUGGUAACUGAAGUUUUCAUCAAGAAAACCUCUCUUUGCAACAGACUGAGACCACUAAAGAAAACCACAACCACCAAAUGCAGGGUUGUAGAGCCCAGUCCCAACUGACAUGUCUCCAACACAAUGUCCUACAUCUAAAGCUCAAACGACAUUUCAGAUGAGGAGGCAGGAAUACUGUAGAGGUGGUACCAAGGUAAUUCUCAGACCUGCCAACAUUGGAAUGAUCACACGUUCUUAAUCAGUGGAGUCCAAAUUGAAGGUCUUGAUGCUUCAUUAGAAGCUGUAUCCCCUGUGAUUUGCUUAGCACCUCUGAGCUGCUUAGUGUUCUCUGUUUGGAAACAAGACUCCCACAUGUACCAAAACUUCUUCACGGGAGAGGCUGAACCUGGGUCUGAAAUGACACUUUUGGAUUUAAAUCCCAACUCUCUGGAGAUCAAGGGUCUCUGCUUUGUCGGCUGUGGGCUGGGUGCCAGGAUUAGGCAGCCGAUCUGGAUGUAUGGCAUGGCAGCCGCUGCUGUGGAAACUUGUUCUGUGCUUAAUAUCAGUUCUCAACUGGUGGCGACAUUUUGGGAGGUUAUAGAACCUUUAGAAGGUGAUCCCAGACUCUGAUCCUGCUGCAGUACCUCCAGCCUCAUGGUGGACUCUAUCCCCUUUCGCUGAAUUUCUCCUUCUUUUACUUGCUUCUUGUCAGGUAUUUGGUUACAGUGAUGAAAAAUGUAAGUGAUACAGAACCAAAGACUCAAUGUGAAUGGACUAAGGGGCUUCAUCAGGGAUGGUGGUGGGCUUUGAGCAAACAGGAGUUGAAGGGAUAAAUCCAUGUGAGACCAGACCGUGGCAAAUUUGUUCAAGGUGGACUUGUUCAGUUAGUGUUUGCAAAUCAGUCAUGACCAGCAGAGUCAGAGGGUAAGUCAGCAGAGGCCAGGAAAAUGUGGCUUGCUAUCCCUAUAAAGAGAGACAUCAUGGUGAAGGUCAGCUGUGGCCUCCCUUGAGCUGGUCUGGAGCGUUUCUGAAGUCCAUGUGUUCUCAAAACAGUCGCUUUGGUCUUUUCUCCUUUGUUUGUGUGAAACAAAGGUUCUUUGCCUUAUUUCAUAAACUCAAACAGAAGUGGUCAAAUAAAAACAUUCCCUCCAGCAACUCUACAGGACUCUCCUUCGCUCAUUCUAGAAGUUUCCUGCAUGUGUACUGGGCUAGAGAUAAUCUUGCUGCAAGUCCCAGGAGAGGCUCAGCACCCCCUCAU